UUGAGGUUGUGUGUGUGUGGAAUCCCCGUGGAUGAAGGCAUAUUUUCCCAGUGGGAUCAGGCUUCAUCUCUGCUGCCUCCAGCGGGUCGAGUGCAUCCCUCGGGAUGGAUGUGUUUAGCAGAGGUCAAAGGAGAUAUGCAGGCGAAAUUCCUUGUGGGAAGGGGAUGUUGCUUGCCCGGGAAACAACCUGGGCACAAGUCAAGAGAUCCAGUGUCCUCAUCAUGACUGGUACUCCUGAGUCCCACAGUGUGGCUGGAGGUGUGGGGAGGUCCCCAGGGCAGGGACUGCUGGACUCUGAGAGCAUCUGCAUGGCUGGAGGGGGCAAAUCCCUGCUGGAAACCCAUAUUUGGUCUGGGAAGUGAUUAGCAGGACACAUUGCUCUUCAGUCAGACAGGAACUGGCAAAGGAGAUGAUGCCUGGCCCAGAUGGAAACUGCAGGAGGAGGGAAGGCUUUGUGGCCACAGAGGUACCUUCCAAGGUUGGUAAGGGGCUCUGGGGGCUGGUGGUGCCUUUUGACAGGAAGAGGGGAGCAGGGAUUGGUACAGGGAAGUGAUGAGCUGGUGUUAUGGGGAUUUGGGAGGUCUGGGCUCACAUUUCCACAGAUUUCCAGAUUAGCCCCUUUGCCUCAGUUUUUCCAGGUGUGACAGCUCCAGCCUGCAUCCGAAGGGAUGUGUCCAUCACAGCUGAUGGGAUCCAGUGCCAUCUAGGGAAGGUGAGCCCACAGCAACAGGUGUGAGUGCCUGUGUCACCUGCACCGUGGCACCUUUCCCUGGCAUCUGUGCUUGCCAUGAAGGGGCUGGACCCUGCAUGGGCUCCACUUGCUGCUGCUGCAUGACCACGGACUUCUGCCCCUGUAUUGCCAACAAAAAUCUUUCCAACACAGGAGUUUCUCUUCUCACCCCUUGGCUGCAGAAGGGAAGAUUGAUUACUGGUGUACUCCAGCCUGCAUUUACCAACCUACCUUCACAAAAGAAAGAAAACAAACCCCAUCUAUCCAUUGCUUGGCCACCCGAGGGCACAGGAGAACCUCCCAAACAAGCACUUCCACCAAUUCUUAGAGUGAAGACACCGGCGGCAGCCCUUGAUCUCCAGCCAUGGUGAUGAACCUGCUGAGCUCCAGCCCUUGGUCUGUUAAUCUCCUCCCUCAGCUCACUAAAUCCAGGAAGAUGUUCCCAAUCAGGAGGGUGGGCCAGGCUGGGUUUGUUUGCAGAGCUUCAUCCUUGGGAACAUCUGGUACCCUUGGCUCUCCUGAGCUCCAGUAGGCUUUGGGGGAGCAGGAACUGUGGGUGGUCACACCCUGAUGAACUAUCACGGGGUGCCACGGGGUUGGGGUGAUGAUGGGGUGACAACUGCUGGUGCUGGGAUCUCAGGGUGCUGCUGGCUGGGUGCUCUGCUGACAGCUUGGCUCUUCCUGGCUUAUCCAUGUCCCACAAACGGGAAUCACUGGAGAGGAGCGGGGUCUGUGCUGCCGGCUCGCCGCCGGGGUUGUGGGAUGUGGUGAAGCCAUGCAGCUCUCCAGCUCCCUUCUAAUUCCUUUCCCAGCUGCUUUGCCUCAUCACCAUGACCAGGCUGUAACCGGAGCAGGGGGAGGGAAAAUACUUAAAAAUUUGGCCUUUCCAGGGGUUUUCCUUCUUCCUACCGUUGCACAGAGGCUGAGUUGUGGCAUGUGAAAGGCUCCCCACCGUGCAGAGGCAGAUGUUCCUGCUCACACCAGCUGUGAUCUUGGCUGAGAGCAUCCUUGACUCACCUGCACGGCCACAUGAAGGACCGGGGGAAAUAGUUUACAAGGAGGAGAAAAGCUGAGCUUUUCCAGCAAAUGGAACAGUAAAAAAAAAAUCAAUUAAGCAAGUCCAGAAGUUCAAAGAAAAGUUAAAGCAGAAGAUAAGGGAUAUAUCCCGACUGUUUCCAUGAUGCAGCCCUAUAUUUUCCAUCUAAAAUAUCAGCACCGAGUGUGGAGAUCAGCCUUUUGAAAAUAAAGCGAAAAAAAAGCUU